ensembl:snRNA U6 U6 spliceosomal RNA
GUGUUCGCUUCGGGAGCACAUAUAGUAAAACUGGAAUGAUACAGAGAAGAUUAGCAUAGCCCCUGCGCAAGGAUGGCAUGCAAAUUCAUGAAGCGUUACAUAUUUUU